AAGAACAAAAUCUAUUUUUCGGUUGUAUAACGGAAAUUGACAGUGAAUAUCAUUUUAUUUGUGUCUUCUAGCAGGUCUGAGCUGAGCGCUGAGAAGAUCUGAGCUGGGAAUCAAAGAUGUUUCUCGCUGAGGCUGUGCCAAC